rnacentral:lncRNA from 1 species
AAUUUUUGCAUGAUUGAACAUAUGGAUGUUGAGCACACAUGUGAAUUUUUUUGGAUUUAUUGAAUGCUUUUCCUAUUUGAUUGGAAUUUUCUCCCCUGUUUGGUCAUUUGUUGAUUUUUUGUGACACAUGUUUGUAUUUGGUUUGUUAAAAUCUGGUCAUUAAUUGGAUGGAUGUGAAAUUUUAUAUGUGACUUCUAGACACAUUAUAGGUCAUUGUGGUUUUGAUCCCAUUCAUUUAUCAUGUUUUGUCACUGUUUUAUGA